AGGUGUGUUUAAUUGGGGUUGGAGCUAAACUCUUCAGGACACCGGCCCUCCAGGACUGAGUUUGGACACCCCUGCUUUAGUCCAAGGUGAGGUAUUGUGUGUGUGUGUGUGUGGGUGUGUGUGUGUGUGUGGGUGUGUGUGUGUGUGUGUGUGUGUGUACGUACGUACGUACGUACUGGUAAUCACUAGCGUGUGACCUUGGCUUGUGGGGACAUUUUUUUAAGGUCCCGGCAUGAGGAAACAAGCUUAUAAAUCAUACAGAAUUAAAUGUUUUGAAAAUCUAAAAAUGCAGUACAGUAGAAAAACCAUUACGCCUAACUCAUAAUGAUAGGAAUACCUGUGUUUGUGUGUGUGUAGUUGGUGGUCUGGUGACGUGGCUCGGUGAGUGAAUUCCGCGCAUUUUUCCCUUGAGCUCCAGAUCUACAGCAGAUUCACAGAAUAAAAGCGGAGUAGGCCUAGAUCCGUUUGAACAUCAUCAUCCUACACCUCCACAUCCAUUGACCCUGUGUUUGUGUCGCUGUCUGCAUGAGGAAUGGCCGGCAGAGACGUGCUGAAGGCGGAUGAAGGUCUGAUGAUGAUGCAGAAGCUGGAGGACAUACUCGAGGAGCACACGGAUAAACUGGAGCAUGUGCGUCUGGCCUCCGUGGACCUGAGAGAUGCUCUGUCAGGGAAUAAUGACGAUAUGCAGCAGUGCAUCUCUGAACACAUGGAGUGGCUCGCACAGCUGACCGAUCGCGUGGACACACUGCAGAUGAACACUGCCGUCUUUGUACAGAUGAAUGCCAAACCGCGCAGCUUUCGGGUCAAACAGCAGGGGCUCAGAAGCGCUGGCCGCUGGGGCCGCUGUCAUGUGACCGAUGAUGCCCAAUCAGAGUACGGCUGGUCUCCCGUCUGUACCAGACGCAACAGUGAUGUGGCGUCUGAGAUGUCGUGUGCGUGGUAGAAACACUCACAUCAUGAGCAGCAUUACUGUUCCUCGUCCAAAACUGACCACUGUAACGGCAGCCUACUGUUUGAGUAUUUCAUAUAGUUUGAAAUAAGUGUAAUAAAAAGUGUUUGUUGUUCCAAACCUUUGUGACUUUUUCUUCUUUAGAACAUAAAGCAUUUUU
rnacentral:lncRNA from 1 species